rnacentral:rRNA from 1 species
CGAAAAGUUAUGUAAGGGCGUAUGGGGGAUGCCUAGGCUCUCAGAGGCGAAGAAGGACGUGAUAAGCUGCGAAAAGUUGCGGGGAUUGGCACAUACGAUUAGAUCCGCAAAUAUCCGAAUGGGGCAACCCAGUACAUUGAAGAUGUACUACACCGAUUGGUGGGCAAACCUGCUGAACUGAAACAUCUUAGUAGGCAGAGGAGAAGAAAACAAAAGUGAUUCCCAGAGUAGUGGCGAGCGAAAUGGGAGCAGCCCAAACCCAUAUUGUUACGGCAAUAUGGGGGUAGUAGGACCCAGAUAUAGGUUGUAAAACUGGAUUAGAAGUGUUUGGAAAGACACACCAUAGAGAGUGAAAGUCUCGUAUAGGUACAGCUUUAUAAAUCUUAUGGGUAUCCUGAGUAGGUCGGGGCACGUGGAACCUUGACUGAAUCCGCCGGGACCAUCCGGUAAGGCUAAAUACUCCUGAGAGACCGAUAGUGAACCAGUACCGUGAGGGAAAGGUGAAAAGAACCGUGAAUAACGGAGUGAAAUAGACCCUGAAACCAUACGCUUACAAGCGGUCGGAGCAGCGUCAGCUGUGACGGCGUGCCUUUUGCAUAAUGAGCCUACGAGUUACUGUUACCAGCGAGGAUAAGUAUUUCAGAUACGAAUCCGUAGCGAAAGCGAGUCUGAAUAGGGCGCUCAUAGUUGGUAGUAGUAGACGCGAAACCUGGUGAUCUACCCUUGGGCAGGUUGAAGCGCUGGUAACACAGCGUGGAGGACCGAACUGGUUGUCGUUGAAAAGACUUCGGAUGACCUGAGGGUAGGGGUGAAAGGCCAAUCAAACUGGGAAAUAGCUCGUACUCCCCGAAAUGCAUUUAGGUGCAGCGUUGAUGCGAGUUUAAUAGAGGUAGAGCUACUGAUUGGAUGCGGGGGUUUCAUCGCCUACCAAUUCCUGACAAACUCCGAAUGCUAUUAAAUGCUCAUCAGCAGUGAGGGUAUGGGUGCUAAGGUCCAUAUCCUAAAGGGAAAGAACCCGGACCAUCAGCUAAGGUCCCCAAAUAUAUGCUAAGUUGACCAAACGCGGUCUGACUGCACUGACAGCUAGGAUGUUGGCUUGGAAGCAGCCAUACAUUUAAAGAGUGCGUAACAGCUCACUAGUCGAGCGGUUGGGCAUGGAUAAUAAACGGGCAUAAGCAUAUUACCGAAGCUAUGGGGUUAUUACUUGAAGUAAUAUACCGGUAGGGGAGCAUUCUAUUGGCGUGGAAGCUAAAGGCGUGAGCCAUAGUGGAGCCUGAUAGAAAAGAAAAUGUAGGCAUAAGUAACGAUAAGGCAGGCGAGAAACCUGCCCGCCGAAAGAUCAAGGUUUCCUCAGCUAUGCUAAUCAGCUGAGGGUUAGUCGGGGACUAACGCGAACCCGAGUAGGGGUAGUGGAUGUACAAUAGGUUAAUAUUCCUAUACCAUUAGUCUGUUAAAAGUGACGGAAUGAGAUAACUACCGCGUACUGACGGAAUAGUACGUUUAAGGAGUUGUUAUGACUUCGAAAGUACGCUGAGGCUUCGGCCGAGGUGAGUGUGGUGACAACGUUUCCAAGAAAAGCGAAGGCUAAUGCCCGUACCGUAAACCGACACAGGUGAUUGGGAUGAGAAUUCUAAGGCGCUCGAGAGAUUCAUGGCUAAGGAACUAGGCAAAAUAGACCUGUAACUUAGGGAGAAAGGUCGCCUAUCAUUAGAUAGGCCGCAGUGAAAAGGUCCAAGCGACUGUUUAUCAAAAACACAGGACUCUGCAAAAUCGAAAGAUGAAGUAUAGGGUCUGACACCUGCCCGGUGCUGGAAGGUUAAGAGGAGAGCUUAGCAGCAAUGCGAAGGUUUGAAUUGAAGCCCCAGUAAACGGCGGCCGUAACUAUAACGGUCCUAAGGUAGCGAAAUUCCUUGUCGGGUAAGUUCCGACCUGCACGAAUGGUGUAACGAUUUGGACACUGUCUCGGCCAUGAGCUCGGUGAAAUUGUAGUAUCGGUGAAGAUGCCGAUUACCCGCAGUGGGACGAAAAGACCCUGUGCACCUUUACUAUAUCUUCGUAUUGGUCUUGGAUAAGUGAUGCGUAGGAUAGGUGGGAGACUAAGAAGCGGCUAUUCCGGUAGUUGUGGAGUCAUUGUUGAAAUACCACCCUUUGCUUAUCUGAGGUCUAACUUUGCACAAGGCAAAGGACAAUUCGUGGAGGGUAGUUUGACUGGGGUGGUCGCCUCCAAAAGUGUAACGGAGGCUUCUAAAGGUUCCCUCAGCACGCUUGGUAACCGUGCGUAGAGUGCAAUGGCAUAAGGGAGCUUGACUGAGAGACAUACAAGUCGAUCAGGUACGAAAGUAGAGCAUAGUGAUCCGGUGGUUCCGUAUGGAAGGGCCAUCGCUCAAAGGAUAAAAGGUACGCCGGGGAUAACAGGCUGAUCUCCCCCAAGAGCUCACAUCGACGGGGGGGUUUGGCACCUCGAUGUCGGCUCGUCACAUCCUGGGGCUGGAGAAGGUCCCAAGGGUUGGGCUGUUCGCCCAUUAAAGUGGCACGCGAGCUGGGUUCAGAACGUCGUGAGACAGUUCGGUCUCUAUCUACUGUGGGCGUUAGAAAUUUGCGUGGAUCUGACUCUAGUACGAGAGGACCGAGUUGGACGCACCGCUGGUGUAUCUGUUGUCUUGCCAAGGGCAUAGCAGAGUAGCUAAGUGCGGAUGGGAUAAGUGCUGAAAGCAUAUAAGUACGAAACCCGCCACAAGAUGAGAUUUCUUUUAAGGGUCGUGGGAGAUGACCACGUUGAUAGGUUACAGGUGUAACGGUGGUAACAUCAUAGCCGAGUAAUACUAAUAACCCGUAGACUUUUCGCGCAG